AUUGAACGCUGGCGGCAGGCCUAACACAUGCAAGUCGAACGGUAACAGGAAGAAGCUUGCUUCUUUGCUGACGAGUGGCGGACGGGUGAGUAAUGUCUGGGAAACUGCCUGAUGGAGGGGGAUAACUACUGGAAACGGUAGCUAAUACCGCAUAACGUCGCAAGACCAAAAAGGGGGACCUUCGGGCCUCUUGCCAUCGGAUGUGCCCAGAUGGGAUUAGCUAGUAGGUGGGGUAACGGCUCACCUAGGCGACGAUCCCUAGCUGGUCUGAGAGGAUGACCAGCCACACUGGAACUGAGACACGGUCCAGACUCCUACGGGAGGCAGCAGUGGGGAAUAUUGCACAAUGGGCGCAAGCCUGAUGCAGCCAUGCCGCGUGUAUGAAGAAGGCCUUCGGGUUGUAAAGUACUUUCAGCGGGGAGGAAGGGAGUAAAGUUAAUACCUUUGCUCAUUGACGUUACCCGCAGAAGAAACACCGGCUAACUCCGU
rnacentral:rRNA from 1 species